UGCAAGUCGAGCGAGAAAAGGGGGGCAACCCCCUGAGUAAAGCGGCGCACGGGUGAGUAACACGUAGGUAACCUGCCCUCGAGCCCGGGAUAACCUACCGAAAGGUGGGCUAAUACCUGAUAUGACCACGGGAGCCACGGCUUCUGCGGUGAAAGGUGGCCUCUUCUUGAAAGCCACCACUCGUGGAGGGGCCUGCGCGCCAUUAGCUAGUUGGCGGGGUAACGGCCCACCAAGGCUGUGAUGGCUAGCUGGUCUGAGAGGAUGACCAGCCACACUGGGACUGAAACACGGCCCAGACUCCUACGGGAGGCAGCAGUGGGGGAUAUUGCGCAAUGGGCGAAAGCCUGACGCAGCGACGCCGCGUGGGUGAUGAAGGCCUUCGGGUCGUAAAGCCCUGUCGAGGGGGAAGAAACAGCCGUGAUCGAACAGAUCACGGCCCUGACGGUACCCCUAAAGGAAGCACCGGCUAACUCCGUGCCAGCAGCCGCGGUAAUACGGAGGGUGCGAGCGUUGUUCGGAAUCACUGGGCGUAAAGCGCGUGUAGGCGGUCUGUUAAGUCUGAUGUGAAAGCCCCGGGCUC
rnacentral:rRNA from 1 species